rnacentral:lncRNA from 1 species
AACUAUUGAAGUGAUCUAUAGAAAUGACCUAAUCCUAAUUAACUUUUAAUUAGGUUUGAUCAAUUUCUUAACUUAGUCCAUAUUUAAUCUAACCCUAGGUCUAACCCAGUUAAUGAUCUGAUCAAAGCUAACCCAUUACCCUUUAACCCAUGUUUUAUGAAAUUGUCUUAGGAUCUUUAAAUCACAAACCUAGAUCCUAAACAAUUACUUAAUUCUUUUAAUUAAGUUCAUGGCUG